CAGCAGCCGCGGUAAUACGUAGGUCCCGAGCGUUGUCCGGAUUUAUUGGGCGUAAAGCGAGCGCAGGCGGUUAGAUAAGUCUGAAGUUAAAGGCUGUGGCUUAACCAUAGUACGCUUUGGAAACUGUUUAACUUGAGUGCAGAAGGGGAGAGUGGAAUUCCAUGUGUAGCGGUGAAAUGCGUAGAUAUAUGGAGGAACACCGGUGGCGAAAGCGGCUCUCUGGUCUGUAACUGACGCUGAGGCUCGAAAGCGUGGGGAGCGAACAGGAUUAGAUACCCGCGUAGUCCCUGUCUCUUAUACC
rnacentral:rRNA from 1 species